AGCGAACGCUGGCGGCAGGCCUAACACAUGCAAGUCGAACGAACUCUUCGGAGUUAGUGGCGGACGGGUGAGUAACACGUGGGAACGUGCCUUUAGAUUCGGAAUAACUCAGGGAAACUUGUGCUAACACCGAAUGCGCCCUUCGGGGGAAAGAUUUAUCGCCUUUAGAGCGGCCCGCGUCUGAUUAGCUAGUUGGUGAGGUAAAGGCUCACCAAGGCGACGAUCAGUAGCUGGUCUGAGAGGAUGAUCAGCCACAUUGGGACUGAGACACGGCCCAAACGCCUACGGGAGGCAGCAGUGGGGAAUCUUGCGCAAUGGGCGAAAGCCUGACGCAGCCAUGCCGCGUGAAUGAUGAAGGUCUUAGGACUGUAAAAUUCUUUCACCGGGGACGAUAAUGACGGUACCCGGAGAAGAAGCCCCGGCUAACUUCGUGCCAGCAGCCGCCGUAAAAC
rnacentral:rRNA from 1 species